rnacentral:rRNA from 1 species
CGCUAGUAAUCGCGGAUCAGCAUGUCGCGGUGAAUACGUUCCCGGGUCUUGUACACACCGCCCGUCACACCAUGGGAGUGGGUUUUACCAGAAGUAGGUAGCCUAACCGCAAGGGGGGCGCUUACCACGGUAGGGCUCAUGACUGGGGUGAAGUCGUAACAAGGUAGCCGUAUCGGAAGGUGCGGCUGGAUCACCUCCUUU